rnacentral:misc_RNA from 1 species
AAGUCGUAACAAGGUUUCCGUAGGUGAACCUGCGGAAGGAUCAUUACCGUGGGGAUCUCGCGAUCCCUACCGAGAUAGAACCCUUGCCUUGCAUACCCUCCGUUUCCUCGGCAGGUCCGCCUGCCAAUGGGGACAAACAAAACCUUUUUGCAAUAGCAGUAACCGUACCAAAACAAAACAUUUUAAAACUUUCAACAACGGAUCUCUUGGUUCUG